rnacentral:lncRNA from 1 species
CCCCUCAGCCUAGAGAAGCCCGGCGCUUCCCACUUCCAGUGCGCAGGCAGCGCCGCCGGAACCGGGCGUGGCCUCGGCGCAAUGCCCGCUGGGAAGCGUAGUCCCAAGCAGGGACGGAUGCGGCGGCCCUCGGAGCUCAGGUUGCAAGAUACGGUUUGGCCCCGGGCCUAUGCAACGCCCGUCCGUCCUGCCCUCUGCGGGUCGCUCUCACUUGUCCCUGGACCGCAGCCGCCGCAUAAGUGGUGGCCAACGCUGGGCCUGGGUGUGGCCGGAAGCAGAGGCCGCUCUGACUACACACCCACCCCCCAAAGGCUUCUGGGAGUCGCGCAGGCGCAGCGGCAGACCGGGUGAGGCGGGGCUUGCGGCGAGGGGUGGGACCGCAGGGCCGGAGUAAAAGGGUGCUUGGCUGUGACAGGUGCUAAGGGCCUGGGCGUCAGCUCCUUGCGGGAGCGUCACUGCCGACCGGGAAGGGAAAGGCAAUCUUGGGGGCCUCCGGAGUCCGGAGGAUCACUCUGAUGGGUGAUGUGUGUGGGCUAGGAAGGGGGAUGUAGAGAGCUUGUGGGAUUGUUUUGGGUGCCCCCUCACCUUCUCCCAUUAUCUCUGGCUACACGGGCCUCCCAUCCUCCAAAAUACCAUUUUCCAUUUUGUAACCUAUGUAUUUGCACGUCCUGGGUCGAAAUAGUCUAACCCCAAAUUUUCGUCUGGGCUGGCUCCUUUAUGCCAUUCACUUGUCAUCGCCUCAGAGAGGGCUGCCUAACGUCUCAAAAAUACCAGCCCUGGCGACCUCUUAAAGUUCCCUUCCUGUGUGAAUCACGGUCUGAAGUUAGCUGAUGGAUUUAUUCUUGAACAUGUUUAGGACCGGUCUCUCCCCCAGGGGCCUUAUCAGAACUGGAGAGCUUCAUCCUGGGAGCCAAGGGCCUUGCUGGCUCACAGGCAGUGAUGCUGUUACACCAGUCAUCACAGAUGCACUGACCUCUGCACGCCCAGUCACACUGCACGCCUGGUCUCCUUACUCUUGAAUUGAUUUCUUUCAGGUCUCCUGGCCUCAGUGAUGGAAUUAAGAUGACUUCUAUCUCUGAAUCCAAGGGUGACUGAAAGCCGCAAGCUGCAGAAAGGACAAGAGGCAUCACCUAUGUGGAUAAAGACAGCAUCCUGAGUUGAUGGAGAAAUGGCAUAGAAGGAACCAGGUCCUUUGAUGACAUCAUGGAGCAAAGCUGUCUUCUUGCCUUGACCUGCUACCUACCUACAUGGGAAGCUGUUACUUGAGAAGGCAAUAAAAUCUAUCUUCUUUAUUGA